CUUUAAUUCACCUGGUGACAGAGCUGAGAGGAAGGAAGUGGAAUAACUGUAGCUCCAGCAGAAGCUAAUGCCAGUAUCACCAUACCAUUCAGUCUCCUUGACAGGACCUGGACUCCUCUCUAUUCCUCUUUUCAUCUCAAACUCAUUGACCAUCUCCUCCCAUCUGUCUCGCUUGGAGAAAUAAACAGCAUCCCCUUCUAGCAGAUGGACCUGGGGGAGAUCAGGAAGGUCCGACACAUCAGCAGCGCGCUGCUGGAGAUCAGGGUCAGUCUCUGCAACCAUGCUGUACGUGUGGCUGCAGAGUCCUCGUCUGAGGCAUCGCUCCUGAAGUAGACAGAGUCAUAGUCCUCUGUGUCAGUGCUAUCGGAGACUGCUGCAAGCGUGAUGGCCUCUGAUCUCCUUGGGAGAAAGGAGAGAAAAAGUGAUACCCGCAUCCUGCCGCUGGGGUGACCUGGCUGGCCCUGCGCCUUCAGAAAGGAACAUCUCUUCUGGACAUGUUCACGUACUGGCUAAGUUGGGUUUGUCCAGCAAAAAGUAGUAUCUUCCCACUCUGCAGAAACUGGUGAGUCUGCAGGUGAAGGAGGCAGACGCCUGUUUUUCUACUUCUGCACAUUAUUUGUACAUAGACUGAAAAGAAACAAUAUAAACUUAUUAGGAAGCAGAGGGCAUAUCUCCAUG
rnacentral:lncRNA from 1 species